rnacentral:rRNA from 1 species
CAGGGGAAGAAGGAGCUGAUAUCAGGCCCUUUAUGCCCAUGACAUCUAGCCCCGCCACACCCCCAAGGGUAUCCAGCAGUGAUAAAUAUUGAAAAUUAGCGCAAGCUAAAUUCAGUCAUAGCUAAAAAAACCGGUCAAUCUCGUGCCAGCCACCGCGGUUAUACGGGCAGGUUUAAACUGAUAAUAUCGGCACAAAGUGUGGUUAAUAUUUCCUCCCAAUAAAGCAAAAAAAAAGCCUAGCCGUGAAAUGCUUCCGCUUUUACUAACUCCAAUAACGAAAGUAGCUUUAACCCUUAUUGAACCCACGAUCGCUAGGGCCCAAACUGGGAUUAGAUACCCCACUAUGCCUAGCCAUAAACUUUGACACUUCCGCCUGGGAACUACGAGCUCAAGCUUAAAACCCAAAAGACUUGGCGGUGCCCUACACCUUCUAGAGGAGCCUGUUCUAUAAUCGAUAACCCCCGAUAAACCUCACCUCUUCUUGCCAAUACUGUCUGUAUACCUCCGUCGUCAGCUGACCUCUCAAGAGCUAGUCAGCCAAGGGGGCUCACCCCAACAAGUCAGGUCAAGGUGCAGCGAAUGAAGCGGAAAGAAAUGGGCUACAUUUUCUACCCAUAGAUCACACGGAGAAUCAAAAUGAAAUCUGAUUGGAAGGCGGAUUUAGCAGUAAAAAGGGAUCAGAGAGCUCUUUUUAAAUAGGCCCUAGGGCGCGUACACACCGCCCGUA